AACGAACGCUGGCGGCAUGCCUAACACAUGCAAGUCGAACGAGACCUUCGGGUCUAGUGGCGCCCGGGUGCGUAACGCGUGGGAACCUGCCCUUAGGUUCGGAAUAACUCCCCGAAAGGGGUGCUAAUACCGGAUAAUGUCUUCGGACCAAAGAUUUAUCGCCUUUGGAUGGGCCCGCGUUGGAUUAGCUAGUUGGUAGGGUAAAAGCCUACCAAGGCGACGAUCCAUAGCUGGUCUGAGAGGAUGAUCAGCCACACUGGGACUGAGACACGGCCCAGACUCCUACGGGAGGCAGCAGUGGGGAAUAUUGGACAAUGGGCGAAAGCCUGAUCCAGCAAGGCCGGGUGAGUGAUGAAGGCCUUAGGGUUGUAAAGCUCUUUUACCCGGGAUGAUAAUGACAGUACUGGGAGAAUAAGCUCCGGCUAACUCCGUG
rnacentral:rRNA from 1 species